CUGCAUCGGACAGAUGGAGGACUACCACAAGCCGGACCAGCAGACGGUGCAGGCGCUCAGGAAUAUCGCCAUCCGGCUCCGAAUCAACUCCAUCAAGGCGACAACUGCAGCGGGCAGCGGCCAUCCCACAUCAUGCUGCAGCGUGGCAGAGAUCAUGUCUGUGCUCUUCUUUCAUUCCAUGAAGUAUCGACCCGAAGACCCCCGUAACCCCAACAAUGAUCGCUUCAUCCUCUCCAAGGGUCAUGCAGCUCCUGUGCUGUAUGCUGUCUGGGCAGAGGUCGGCUACCUGAAGGAGAACGAGCUUCUGAACCUCCGUAAAGUCGACUCUAUCCUGGAGGGCCACCCUGUGCCGAAGCAGCAGUUCGUGGAUGUGGCCACUGGAUCUCUGGGUCAGGGCCUUGGAGCCGCCUGUGGAAUGGCCUACACUGGAAAAUACUUUGACAAGGCCAGCUAUCGGGUGUUCUGCCUGCUGGGUGACGGAGAGGUGUCGGAGGGUGCGGUGUGGGAGGCCAUGGCCUUCGCCUCCUACUAUCAGCUGGACAACCUGGUGGCCAUAAUGGACAUUAACCGCCUGGGCCAGAGCGACCCGGCUCCUCUGCAGCACCAUGUGGACAAAUACCAGCGACGCUGUGAGGCCUUUGGCUGGCAUGCCAUCGUUGUGGACGGUCACAGUGUGGAGGAGCUGUGUAAGGUGCUGAGUCAGCCCCGCCACCAGCCCCUCGCCAUCAUAGCCAAGACCAUCAAGGGCAAAGGCAUCCCAGCGGCUGAGGAUAAGAUGGGCUGGCAUGGAAAGCCUCUACCUAAAGACAUGUCGGAGAGCGUGAUCAGGGAGCUGCAGAGCCGCAUCGUCAGCUGCAACAAGCGCCUCUAUCCUGCGCCGCCCAAUGAGGACACUUCGCCAGUCAGCCUGCGCAACAUCCGCAUGCCAAGUGCACCCAACUACAAACCUGGAGACAAGAUUGCUACGAGGAAGGCAUACGGCGUGGCUCUGGCAAAGCUGGGCCGCUACAACGAACGAGUGGUCGUCCUCGAUGGAGACACGAAAAACUCCACGUUCUCUGAGCUCUUCAAAAAUGAGCACCCCAACCGCUAUGUGGAGUGCUACAUUGCAGAGCAGAACAUGGUGAGCGUGGCGAUCGGCUGCGCUGUACGCGACCGUAAUGUGGUGUUCGCCAGCACCUUCGCCACAUUCUUCACCCGAGCCUACGACCAGCUUCGCAUGGCCGCCAUCUCCGAGAGCAACAUCAACCUCUGCGGCUCCCACUGUGGCGUUUCCAUCGGGGAAGACGGGCCGUCUCAGAUGGGCCUGGAGGACCUGGCAAUGUUUAGAGCCAUUCCCACUUCGACCAUCUUCUACCCGAGCGACGGGGUCUCCACGGAGAAGGCUGUGGAGCUCGCAGCCAUUACGAAGGGCUUGUGCUUCAUACGAACAAGUCGCCCAGAAAACAACGUCAUUUACAACUGCAACGAGGACUUCCAUGUUGGUCAGGCUAAGGUCGUGUAUAAAACCAGUGAUGACCACGUGACCGUUGUUGGAGCAGGAGUGACCCUCCAGGAGGCUCUGGCUGCAGCAGAAAUGCUAAAGAAAGAGAGAAUCAACAUUCGCGUGAUCGACCCGUUCACCAUCAAACCCCUGGACUCCAAGACCAUCAUCGACAGUGCCAGAGCCACAAGAGGAUGCAUCAUCACAGUGGAAGACCACUACUACGAAGGUGGGCUCGGCGAGUCCGUGUGCUCGGCGGUGGUGAACGAACCCGGAUUCACCGUUCACCGCCUGGCGGUCUCCCAGGUGCCCCGCAGCGGCAAGCCCCACGAGCUGCUGCGGCUCUUCGGCGUCGACCGCGACGCCAUCGCCCAGGCGGUGCGCAAGACGCUCAGCAGCUCUGCCAACGCCAAAUAAGGACAUCCGGAGGAGCGACAUGGUUACUGCCGCUAUUUAAUCUGUGAUCACCAUGGAAACAAACAAUAAAACCCUCACACAAAGAAAGGAAAAAAAGACGGCGUGGCCCGUCCGGGUCUCUCUCACUUUCUAAAGAGCAAACAGAAGAUUUUUGUCGGUAAUUUGAUCCGCUGCAGUUUUACCACCAUCAGUCGGAGUUCGGUAAACAUUCCUCCUCCUCUUUACUCACCGAUAUUCACUCCUUCACCCCGUAGUUCUCCUUCUGCCUCUACAUUGAAAGUGCUGUUGCUGCUGUAGUGUUUCAGUAAAAAAGCAGUAUACGUAGUUUGGAGUCGUGUAUUUUUAUACCGUAUGUCAUGCCUGUGGAGCCUCUCUCUCGCCUCGGGGCUCGGUGUGUUCUCCACCUGGUGUGAACAUGUAGAUCUCACCCCACAGCCGGGUGGAGGAAACCUCGGGCUUGGUCUGAUUUUGAGCACUGACUGUUUUUAACUCUUUCGACUCUGACUUUGGUUUGGACUGCUUCACACAAAUAAAGAUCCAGUCUGUCAUCCU